UUUUUAACUUCCAAGAAAAUUAGAGGUCUAAAAAGGUCUCGAUAAAAAAAGGGUUAAUUGCAUACAGCUUCCUGUAAACAUAUCAAAUAGUUGAUAUAAUAAAGUUCAACUUUUUAUUUUUAUCCCUGCAUAAGUUCUACCGUUUUUAAAUAUGCUCCUAUUAUUAGGAUUCGUUAGAAAUAUAUAAUUAACUACGAGAAAAAAUACUUAACCCUGGUUAGUGGAUAAGUUAAAUUGACUUUUUUAUUCUUCUUACAUUAUUGGUAAAAUAUUUUUUUGGAAUGACAUUUUUGCAUAAUUUUAAGAGUUGGGGCUUUUGAAAGGAUAUAUUUGUAAGGGCAAAAAUAUCAUUUUACUUAACUGGUGUUAAAAAAUAAACAGUACUCUAACGGUAACAAAUCAGAGGGACAAAUAUGAAUAUCACUGACUUUUGUAGGGAUAAAAAUAAAAAAUUAAACUUUAUAGAGAUAUAUUUACUAUUCGAUAUAUUUACAUGGAGCUAUAUGUAAUUAAUCCUAAAAAAAUGUAAGUUGAAGGAGACAUUUCUUCCCACUUGACUAUUAUUCCGGUGAUGGAACUUUUUGAAGCUGAAUUUGGGACAUUCUUGAGCGCAUAAUAGGUUGGGAGACUAAGAAAAAUCUACAAGUCUAAUGAUU
rnacentral:lncRNA from 1 species